rnacentral:rRNA from 1 species
UACGUAGGGUGCGAGCGUUAAUCGGAAUUACUGGGCGUAAAGCGUGCGCAGGCGGGGAUGUAAGACCGAUGUGAAAUCCCCGGGCUUAACCUGGGAACUGCAUUGGUGACUGCAUCGCUCGAGUAUGGCAGAGGGGGGUAGAAUUCCACGUGUAGCAGUGAAAUGCGUAGAGAUGUGGAGGAAUACCGAUGGCGAAGGCAGCCCCCUGGGUCAAUACUGACGCUCAUGCACGAAAGCGUGGGGAGCAAACAGG